rnacentral:miRNA from 1 species
CAGUGUGGCCAAUUGGAGAUUA